rnacentral:rRNA from 1 species
GACGAACGCUGGCGGCGUGCCUAACACAUGCAAGUCGAGCGAGUGAAUCUCCUUCGGGAGUGAAGCUAGCGGCGGACGGGUGAGUAACACGUGGGCAACCUGCCUCAUAGAGGGGAAUAGCCUUUCGAAAGGAAGAUUAAUACCGCAUAAGAUUGUAGCUUCGCAUGAAGUAGCAAUUAAAGGAGCAAUCCGCUAUGAGAUGGGCCCGCGGCGCAUUAGCUAGUUGGUGAGGUAACGGCUCACCAAGGCGACGAUGCGUAGCCGACCUGAGAGGGUGAUCGGCCACAUUGGGACUGAGACACGGCCCAGACUCCUACGGGAGGCAGCAGUGGGGAAUAUUGCACAAUGGGGGAAACCCUGAUGCAGCAACGCCGCGUGAGUGAUGACGGCCUUCGGGUUGUAAAGCUCUGUCUUCAGGGACGAUAAUGACGGUACCUGAGGAGGAAGCCACGGCUAACUACGUGCCAGCAGCCGCGGUAAAAC